GUAGGUGGCAAGCGUUGUCCGGAAUUAUUGGGCGUAAAGCGCGCGCAGGUGGUUCUUUAAGUCUGAUGUGAAAGCCCCCGGCUCAACCGGGGAGGGUCAUUGGAAACUGGGGAACUUGAGUGCAGGAGAGGAAAGUGGAAUUCCACGUGUAGCGGUGAAAUGCGUAGAUAUGUGGAGGAACACCAGUGGCGAAGGCGACUUUCUGGCCUGUAACUGACACUGAGGCGCGAAAGCGUGGGGAGCAAACAGGAUUAGAUACCCUGGUAGUCCACGCCGUAGACGAUGAGUGCUAAGUGUUGGGGGGGUUUCCCGCCCCUCAGUGCUGCAGCUAACGCAUUAAGCACUCCGCCUGGGGAUACGGUCGCAAGACUG
rnacentral:rRNA from 1 species